AUGAUUGCAUAUGGCACUCCUGUAGAUAUGUCAGAUGAGUAUCUUGGAAUGGACAAAGAUACAAUCAUAAUGUGCACAAAAGCGUUCGCUGAUACCGUGGUUAGGGUUUAUGGAGAUCAGUAUCUGCGAACACCCAACGCCAAGGACAUGGUGAUGCUUUUAGCGAUGAAUGAAGCAAGAGGCUGGCCUGGGAUGCUUGGGAGUGUUGACUGUAUGCAUUGGAGGUGGAAGAAUUGCCUGCAGCUUGGCAAGGCCAAUUCACCUGGCAUUGCCAAUGCCAUGAUCCGACAGCUCUUUUGGAAGCGGUUGCCUUCGAGGAUUUAUGGAUUUGGCAUUGCUACUUUGGGUUGCCUGGAUCUCACAAUGACAUGA
rnacentral:rRNA from 1 species